rnacentral:rRNA from 1 species
AUUGAACGCUGGCGGCAGGCCUAACACAUGCAAGUCGAACGGUAACAGGAAGAAGCUUGCUUCUUUGCUGACGAGUGGCGGACGGGUGAGUAAUGUCUGGGAAACUGCCUGAUGGAGGGGGAUAACUACUGGAAACGGUAGCUAAUACCGCAUGACGUCGCAAGACCAAAAAGGGGGACCUUCGGGCCUCUUGCCAUCGGAUGUGCCCAGAUGGGAUUAGCUGGUAGGUGGGGUUAGGGCUCACCUAGGCGACGAUCCCUAGCUGGUCGGAGAGGAUGACCAGCCACACUGGAACUGAGACACGGUCCAGACUCCUACGGGAGGCAGCAGUGGGGAAUAUUGCACAAUGGGCGCAAGCCUGAUGCAGCCAUGCCGCGUGUAUGAAGAAGGCCUUCGGGUUGUAAAGUACUUUCAGCGGGGAGGAAGGGAGUAAAGUUAAUACCUUUGCUCAUUGACGUUACCCGCAGAAGAAGCACCGGCUAACUCCGUG